rnacentral:snoRNA from 1 species
CAGUCAGGUAGGAUAAUCCUUACCUGUUCCUCCUUUUGGAGGGCAGAUUGUUAGCAUCUCUGCA